UACGUAGGGGGCAAGCGUUGUCCGGAAUCAUUGGGCGUAAAGAGCGUGUAGGCGGCCCGAUAAGUCCGCUGUGAAAGUCCAGGGCUCAACCCUGGGAUGCCGGUGGAUACUGUCGGGCUCGAGUCCGGAAGAGGAGUGUGGAAUUCCUGGUGUAGCGGUGAAAUGCGCAGAUAUCAGGAGGAACACCAAUGGCGAAGGCAGCACUCUGGGACGUGACUGACGCUGAGACGCGAAAGCGUGGAGAGCGAACAGG
rnacentral:rRNA from 1 species